rnacentral:rRNA from 1 species
AUACGAAGGGUGCAAGCGUUAAUCGGAAUUACUGGGCGUAAAGCGUGCGUAGGUGGUGAUUUAAGUCUGCUGUGAAAUCCCCGGGCUCAACCUGGGAAUGGCAGUGGAUACUGGAUCGCUAGAGUGUGAUAGAGGAUGGUGGAAUUCCCGGUGUAGCGGUGAAAUGCGUAGAGAUCGGGAGGAACAUCAGUGGCGAAGGCGGCCAUCUGGAUCAACACUGACACUGAGGCACGAAAGCGUGGGGAGCAAACAGGAUUAGAUACCCUGGUAGUCCACGCCCUAAACGAUGCGAACUGGAUGUUGGUCUCAACUCGGAGAUCAGUGUCGAAGCUAACGCGUUAAGUUCGCCGCCUGGGGAGUACGGUCGCAAGACUGAA